CAGCUUAGAGACACGUUAGCAAAUACAUAUAUAGCUGUGAUAAGUUGUGUGUGUUUUUUUUUACUUGUUUAUCUGAAAAAGUUAAUAUGAAAUCAUAUUUUAAUAUCAAAGAUGACCUGAAUAAAUAGAAAAAGCUGUGCUCAAAUAAUAAUUAAGAGCAAAAAAGAGUGAACCAGACCAACUGGAACUGCAUAUGUGAAAGAGGAAAUGGCUCCUCUGACUGCAAUCUGGUCGUCACCCUUGAAUCUGGUCGUCACCCUGGUAACAGCAGCUGCUAAGCGCUGCUGCUAACAGGUGGUGAAUCUUUUACAUCACUGUGGAAGAGUUUUAGACCGUUUCUCUUUCCAGAAUUGGUUUAUUUUGGCCACACUGUGAGGUUUUCAAGCAUCAACAACCAGACUUUAAAAUCUUCAUUUCUUUCUUUUGUUUUUUGCAUUUCAGGACAGACACCUCCCAAAAUGUUCAGAUUACUUUACAGAUCAUUUUCUAAAAGGUCUUUGUGAUCAUAAACAUGAUUUAGUGAGGAGGCAGAACAAUGUGCUCUCUUUGGUCAGCGGUGGUUUUGGAGUUAGACGCCAUUUUCUCACUUCUCUUUCUUACUGCCGAGUCAUGACCACCGACCUUAACUGAGGAAGCCGUAGAGGCAGACCGACACCCAGUUGGUCAGUAGCUUCUCCACCGUGGACUCGGUGCGCCUCAGCAGCAGUUUGGGCUGAGCGGCGCUGCUGUUCUGCUGCAUCAGGUCCUUCAGCAGGACCUCCAUCACCUCCGUCAGCGCGUGCACCAUGGUGGUGAGAAACAGCUGGUCCUGGAUCAGCCUGGAGAACUUCUGGCAGUGCUGAUCCAGCUCCACCA